GAUGAACGCUGGCGGCGUGCCUAAUACAUGCAAGUCGAGCGAAAAGAUGCGGAGCUUGCUCCUCUGACGUUAGCGGCGGACGGGUGUGUAACGCGUGUAUAACCUACCUAUAAGACUGGGAUAACUUCGGAACACCGGAUCUAAUCCCGUAUGAUCUCUUGAACCGCAUGGUUGAAUAGUAAAAUACGGUUUUGCUGUCACGUCUCGCUGCAUCUGCGCCGCAUUAGCUGGUUGGUAAGUUAAAGGCUUACCACGGCGACGAUGCGUAGCCGACCGGAGAGGGUGAUCGCCCACCCUGGAGCGGAGACGGCGUCCAUAGGCCUACGGGAGGCAGCAGUAGGGUAUCUUACGCAGUAGGCGGAAGCCUUACGGAGCGACGCCGAGCGAGUGACGAAGGUCUUGGGAUCGUAAAACCGUGUUAUGGGGGAAGAACAAAUGUGUACGGAACUGUGGACGUCGUGACGGUACCUAGUCAGAAAGCCACGGCUAACUACGUG
rnacentral:rRNA from 1 species